rnacentral:rRNA from 1 species
AGGAGUCUAACAUGCGCGCGAGUCGUUGGGUCGGACGCGCUCCGCUAAACCCAUAGGCGUAAUGAAAGUGAAGGCCCCUUUUGGGUGCCGAGGGAGGACGGAGCCGCUCUCCUCUGUGGGACGGUUCCCGCACUCCCGGGGCGUCUAAUUCCUCAUUGCGAGGGAAGGCGCACCCAGAGCGCACACGUUGGGACCCGAAAGAUGGUGAACUAUGCCUGGCCAGGACGAAGUCAGGGGAAACCCUGAUGGAGGUCCGUAGCGAUUCUGACGUGCAAAUCGAUCGUCGGAGCUGGGGAUAGGGGCGAAAGACUAAUCGAACCAUCUAGUAGCUGGUUCCCUCCGAAGUUUCCCUCAGGAUAGCUUGCGCUCGGAGGAGAGUCUCAUCCGGUAAAGCGAAUGAUUAGAGGCCUUGGGGCCGAAACGGCUUCAACCUAUUCUCAAACUUUAAAUGGGUGAGAACUCCGGCUUGCUCGAUCAAUUUAAUGAAGCCGGAGUCGGGGCCACGAGCCCUCAGGAUCGGAGUGCAUAGUGGGCCACUU